rnacentral:rRNA from 1 species
UAGAUGCGAGAGUAGAGCAUAUCAAUAAGCGGAGGAAAAGAAACUAACAAGGAUUCCCUUAGUAACGGCGAGUGAAGCGGGAAGAGCUUAAAUUUGAAAUCUUCAAGGUUCUACCUUGACGAAUUGUAGUUUAUAGAAGUGUUUUCUGUUAGUGGAGUGGCAAAAGUUCUUUGGAAUAGGACAUCAUAGAGGGUGAGAAUCCCGUAUUUGGUCAUUCCUCCUAGCGUUGUGAUACACUUUCAACGAGUCGGGUUGUUUGGGAAUGCAGUCCAAAAUGGGUGGUAAAUUUCAUCUAAAGCUAAAUAUUGGCGAGAGACCGAUAGCGAACAAGUACCGUGAGGGAAAGAUGAAAAGAACUUUGAAAAGAGAGUUAAACAGUACGUGAAAUUGUCAAAAGGGAAGCGUUUGACACCAGUGUUGUUUUUCCGAAAAUCAAUUACGAAUGUUUUGUUUUUGAGGAGUUAUGACUUCAUCGGCUUGCUUCCUUUCUUUACGAAACUUUCUUAAUGCACUUUUCGGUUAACAAGUCAACAUCAAUUUCUUUUGUUGUAAAAGGGUAUGAGGAAGGUGGCUUUCUUUUCGGAGAAAGUGUUUAUAGCCUUGUACCUCUGCAAUCGGAGAGAUUGAGGUCUGCAGCGUAGAUCCUUCGGGGUUAGAUACAUUUGUGCUAAGUUAUAGCCUUUCAUAGACAACUUGUUGACUAUGAUCAGUCAUGUAGCUUACUCGCUUAUGCUAUUUUACCUACGCUUAGGAUGUUGACGAGACUGUCGAUCUC